GACGAACGCUGGCGGCGUGCCUAAUACAUGCAAGUAGGACGCAGUUGCGAACGGGUGAGUAACGCGUAGGUAACUGCCUCUUAGAGGGGGAUAACUAUUGGAAACGAUAGCUAAUACCGCAUACUAGUAGAUGGACCUGCGUUGUAUUAGCUAGUAGGUAGGGUAAUGGCCUACCUAGGCGACGAUACAUAGCCGACCUGAGAGGGUGAUCGGCCACACUGGGCAUGAGACACGGGCCAAACGCCUACGGGGGGCAGCAGUAGGUAAUCUUCGGCAAUGGGGGGAACCCUGAACGAGCAACGCCGCGUGAGUUAAGAAGGUUUUCGGAUCGUAAAGCUCUGUUGUUAAGGAAGCGGUACUUAACCAGAAAGGGACGGCUAACUACGUGCCAGCAGCCGCGGUAAUUC
rnacentral:rRNA from 1 species